CCUACGGGAGGCAGCAGUGGGGAAUAUUGGGCAAUGGGCGCAAGCCUGACCCAGCAACGCCGCGUGAAGGAAGAAGGCUUUCGGGUUGUAAACUUCUUUUCUCAGGGACGAAGAAAGUGACGGUACCUGAGGAAUAAGCCACGGCUAACUACGUGCCAGCAGCCGCGGUAAUACGUAGGUGGCAAGCGUUAUCCGGAUUUAUUGGGUGUAAAGGGCGUGUAGGCGGGAGUGCAAGUCAGAGGUGAAAACUCAGGGCUCAACCCUGAGCCUGCAUUUGAAACUGUGUUUCUUGAGUGCUGGGGAGGCAAGCGGAAUGCCGGGUGGAGCGGUGAAAUGCGUAGAUAUACGGAGGAACACCAGUGGCGAAGGCGGAUUGCUGGACAGUAACUGACGCUGAGGCGCGAAAGCGUGGGGAGCAAACAGGAUUAGAUACCCCAGUAGUC
rnacentral:rRNA from 1 species